rnacentral:rRNA from 1 species
CGGACGGGUGAGUAACGCGUGAGAAUCUGGCUCUAGGUCUGGGACAACCACUGGAAACGGUGGCUAAUACCGGAUGUGCCGAGAGGUGAAAGGUUAACUGCCUAGAGAUGAGCUCGCGUCUGAUUAGCUAGCUGGAAGUGUAAUGGACUCCCAAGGCGACGAUCAGUAGCUGGUCUGAGAGGACGAUCAGCCACACUGGGACUGAGACACGGCCCAGACUCCUACGGGAGGCAGCAGUGGGGAAUUUUCCGCAAUGGGCGAAAGCCUGACGGAGCAAUACCGCGUGAGGGAGGAAGGCUCUUGGGUCGUAAACCUCUUUUCUCAGGGAAGAACAAAAUGACGGUACCUGAGGAAUAAGCAUCGGCUAACUCCGUGCCAGCAGCCGCGGUAAUACGGAGGAUGCAAGCGUUAUCCGGAAUGAUUGGGCGUAAAGCGUCCGCAGGUGGCUAUGUAAGUCUGCUGUUAAAGAGUCUAGCUCAACUAGAUAAGAGCAGUGGAAACUACAAGGCUAGAGUACGUUCGGGGCAGAGGGAGUUCCUGGUGUAGCGGUGAAAUGCGUAGAGAUCAGGAAGAACACCGGUGGCGAAGGCGCUCUGCUAGGCCGUAACUGACACUGAGGGACGAAGGCUAGGGGAGCGAAUGGGAUUAGAUACCCCAGUAGUC